ensembl:lncRNA
GUAUUUAAUAUGCAUGAACAAUUCUCAGUUGGAAGACUAGUUUAUUGAAAUUUUAGUUAAAUUAGAGUUGCUUUUUCUCCUGCAGAGAAACGGGUGCAAAAGAGGGUUAUUUAUGUGGGAUGGUGGCUGAAGAGCUAAAACGGAAGUGUUUUUCAGAUUAAGGGAAAGAGAAGCUGACACAGCACAGACUUAGUGAGGGGAGAAAGCUGUGAGGACAGAAUAAGCCAGCGCAGACAGUGAGGAAGGGAGUAAAUCUGACCUCAAGAGGACUGAGAAAUUGCAAAGCCUCUGAGGCUCAGAGUAGGGAUGGAGGGAUGUUGAUUGAUGGGGGAAUGGCUAGUCUGUUGUUUAUCACUGGAGUUAAGAUCCUGUUAAGUAGCCAUAUGCUGUGAUGCGGGAGAAGAAAGAAGCAGGCAGAAGAGGGACGGGGAGGGUGUAUGAGAGGAAAAAUAAUAGUAAGGUGGAGAUUUAGAAGCUUACAGGCACAUGAUAUUAAGAAUAUUGACAAUAUAAGGUCAUAUGGCAGAAAUAAAGUUGAUGUGAGACUUGGCACAAAGAUUUUGUGGCUUUGUGUUUUUUUUAUAUGAUAUAAUUUCACUUCUAGAAAUUGUAUUAAGCAGCCAAAAGUUUGGCCAGUUGCUUCUAUUAUAUUCAUUCAGACACAGUGGGCAUAUUUCAUUUUCACUGCCAUGCCAAUCCUUUUUCAGGAUCUACAUAGUUAUUUAUUUUUUCUUUCUUUCUUUCGUUUUUUUUUUUUUUUUUUUGCCAGCAAGAUUUUUUUUUUACUUUGUUGCAACCAAUACCAUAUUUAAGGGGCUGCUGAAAAAGGGUUUUAUUUUUCCUGCAUGGGCACCACUGAUGGGAUUUAUUACAUAAUUUACCUGAUUUAAAAUACAGAAGAUUUGAGAAAUGGCUUUAUAUUUUUGAAAAUAUUGCUUCGAGGAGGCAUGUUUGUUAAGCUAUACAGCCAGCAAAGCACAGCAUGGUUAUAAAGUAGUGCAAUUUAAAAAAACAAAACAAAAAAAACACAACUGAAUUUCUCUUACAUAUUGCUUCCUUGGCUGUCUUAUGGGGCACAUAAUAGUUUUCAUAACUGAAGCCAUGGUAAUAUAUUUUUGUGCUUUUUUUUUCAUAAGUCCAGACACACAUGAAUGCCAUAUAGGAAGAGGCCACAUUUUUUGGUACACCUGUUCAGCUGCUACAAAUCGAAGCAACUCAUUGAUUUAGUCAUGUAGAUGUGGUCAACAGGACCUGCUGAAGUUUAAAAUGAGGGUCAGAAUGGUAAAGAAAUUUGAAGGUGUGGUUGUUGAUCACACACAUUUUUUUGUUUUGUUUUUUCCCCCCAGAAACUGCUGAUCUACUGGGAUUUUCCUGCACAACAAUUUGUAGGUUUGAUUUCUGUAGAUUCUCAGUCCGCCCAGAAAAGGUAGCCUAAAAAGCUUAAAAACAAAAGCAGCUGGUCUUCAGCAAACUUGUCUCAGGUGACCUCAAUAGGUCGUGUGAUAGGUUGUCUGAGGGGUUUCACCAUUAACUUGGGUUAUGAUAAUGUCCCAUGCCUUAUGUUUUUUCAUACUUUGGCUCAUGUGG